ACUAAAUCUGUUUUCUACUUGAUCUAUAGUAAAUUGAAAUCUUGAAAUUAAAGUGCAGGUUGGUGACUUGCCACAUAUUCCAAAAAGCAUCACAGAAUCCAGAGAAAUCAAUGGAGGAAUAAAGAAGCAUGACCAAUUUUGUCUCAAAUUUAUUCUUUCACAGCUGAACCACUUGCUGAUAGGACAGUUGUUUGAUUCUGAGAUCCCUCAUUUGCUCUAUUUUCCAGUUUAGGUAUUGCUGAUUUGAAAUGUACCAGUGUCUCAAGCUCAAUGCAGCAAAGAUCUGGAAUCCUUCUCUUCUUUGAGGGAAGUGGAGGACCCCUCAUGCACUGGCUGUGACCAAUCAAGUUUUGCUCGAUGCCAAAAAAUUAAACACAGUAAGGCCAGGCCCUGUCAGCAAAGAGUUGAUUGCUUUAAAUAAGGGAGAUUUCCUGAAUGUUUAAAUUGAAACUUCGACUUUGAUUAAAGCAAAGAGAAGUACCAGGAUGGCUUCCUAACUAUUUAGUUCCUAAAAUUCCUGUGAGGUCUGGAGAUGACAAAUUCAAUUCUGAUGUGCUGUGUUUUACACUCUGCAGACUGUAGUAAAAGGGAAAACUAAUCAAGCUUGGGUUUCCCAUGGGCUGAGCUUUAAGAUGUUUUCCUAUUUAAAGCCAUGGAAAUAUGUUAAAACCCACAUAGGCACAGUGAAGUUUAUAUAAGGCAAAAUCUAUGUGACUAUGUUUUUGCACAGUGUGCAUAUUUUGAUUUUUCAUUAUUUUUGGUUUGUUUAAUGGCUUAUUUUGCUUAAAAUUAUAUUCCUACAAUAGUUUUAUAAUAAAAGAUUGGAAAGAAUGGUUUAUAAAUAUAUCUAUACGUCUAUUAUACAUAUACACAAUUUAUAUUGUAAAGUGGUUAUGUUGUCAAGUAGAACACAUUCACUUGAAUUUAAAAUUUUUAUUAAAAAUAAAAAAUAGAAAAUUGAUGAAUGACAGACAUAAAAAUGCAUGGCUAUCUAUCCAGACAUGCCAAGAUACAAACUAAGGAUUUAUUUUUAGAGCCAGUGCAG
rnacentral:lncRNA from 1 species